rnacentral:rRNA from 1 species
GUCGAACGGGAUAGAACUUAGCAAUAGGUUCUUGAGAGUGGCGCACGGGUGCGUAACACGUAUGCAACCUACCUUUAACUGGGGGAUAGCCUCUCGAAAGAGAGAUUAAUACCCCAUAGUAUAAUUAGAGAGCAUUUUCUGAUUAUUAAAGAUUUAUCGGUUAAAGAUGGGCAUGCGGCUGAUUAGGUAGUUGGUGAGGUAAUGGCUCACCAAGCCAACGAUCAGUAGGGGGUCUGAGAGGAUGUCCCCCCACACUGGUACUGAGACACGGACCAGACUCCUACGGGAGGCAGCAGUAGGGAAUAUUGGACAAUGGGGGCAACCCUGAUCCAGCCAUUCCGCGUGCAGGAAUAAGGCCCUAUGGGUCGUAAACUGCUUUUGUAUGGGAAAAAAUCAUCUUACGUGUAGGGUGUUGAUGGUACCAUGAGAAUAAGGAUCGGCUAACUUCGUGCCAGCAGCCGCGGUAAUACGAAGGAUCCAAGCGUUGUCCGGAUUUACUGGGUUUAAAGGGUGCGUAGGCGGGGAAUUAAGUCAGUGGUGAAAGCUGGUAGCUCAACUAUCAAAUUGCCAUUGAAACUGAUUCUCUCGAGUACGGUUGAGGUAGCUGGAAUGUAACAUGUAGCGGUGAAAUGCUUAGAUAUGUUACAGAACACCGAUUGCGAAGGCAGGCUACUAAACCGUAACUGACGCUGAGGCACGAAAGCGUGGGGAUCAAACAGGAUUAGAUACCCUGGUAGUCCACGCUGUAAA